rnacentral:rRNA from 1 species
UACGAAGGGGGCUAGCGUUGCUCGGAAUCACUGGGCGUAAAGCGCACGUAGGCGGCUUCUUAAGUCAGGGGUGAAAUCCUGGAGCUCAACUCCAGAACUGCCUUUGAUACUGAGGAGCUUGAGUCCGGGAGAGGUGAGUGGAACUGCGAGUGUAGAGGUGAAAUGCGCAGAUAUCAGGAAGAACACCCGUGGCGAAGGCGGCUCUCUGGGACGGUACUGACGCUGAGACGCGAAAGCGUGGGGAGCGAACAAG